UACGGGGGGAGCAAGCGUUGUUCGGAUUUACUGGGCGUAAAGGGCGCGUAGGCGGCCACCGCAGGUCGACUGUGAAAUCUCCGGGCUUAACCCGGAAGGGUCAGCCGAUACUGCGGGGCUAGAGUGCAGAAGGGGCAACUGGAAUUCUCGGUGUAGCGGUGAAAUGCGUAGAUAUCGAGAGGAACACCUGCGGCGAAGGCGGGUUGCUGGGCUGACACUGACGCUGAGGCGCGAAAGCUAGGGGAGCGAACGGG
rnacentral:rRNA from 1 species